UACGGGGGGAGCAAGCGUUGUUCGGAUUUACUGGGCGUAAAGGGCGUGCAGGCGGUCUGUUAAGUCUAGGGUGAAAGCUCCCGGCUCAACUGGGAGAGGUCCUUGGAUACUGGCGGACUUGAGGGAGGCAGAGGAAAGUGGAAUUCCCGGUGUAGUGGUGAUAUGCGUAGAUAUCGGGAGGAACACCAGUGGCGAAGGCGGCUUUCUGGGGCCUUACCUGACGCUGAGA
rnacentral:rRNA from 1 species